AGGUCGGAUGAAGAUGACGAUGAUUUAGAUUCCAGGGACGAUGAAGAAGUGGACACGGAUGACAUGUUGGAGUCAGUCGAGGAGCGAUCUGACGAAGCCACAUCAGCAGAUGAAGCAGAGAGGAGGUAGAAAGAGAAGUCCGGAUUAUUACUGAAAAUAAAUAAUAAACAAAAAAUGAUGUACUGAUUUCUUUCCUAUAAAACAAAUUUCGUGUGUUGCGUAUAAUAAAAAGCAAUCCCGACGAUGAAUUGUGUGGGCUGAGGUCGCCA